UACGUAGGUGGCGAGCGUUGUCCGGAUUUAUUGGGCGUAAAGAGCGUGUAGGCGGCCUGACAGGUCUGCUGUGAAAACUCGAGGCUCAACCUCGAGAUGUCGGCGGAAACCGUCUGGCUAGAGUCCGGAAGAGGAGAGUGGAAUUCCUGGUGUAGCGGUGAAAUGCGCAGAUAUCAGGAAGAACACCUAUGGCGAAGGCAGCUCUCUGGGACGGUACUGACGCUGAGACGCGAAAGCGUGGGGAGCGAACAGG
rnacentral:rRNA from 1 species